GUAAUGUCUGGGAAACUGCCUGAUGGAGGGGGAUAACUACUGGAAACGGUGGCUAAUACCGCAUAACGUCGCAAGACCAAAGAGGGGGACCUUCGGGCCUCUUGCCAUCAGAUGUGCCCAGAUGGGAUUAGCUUGUUGGUGAGGUAACGGCUCACCAAGGCGACGAUCCCUAGCUGGUCUGAGAGGAUGACCAGCCACACUGGAACUGAGACACGGUCCAGACUCCUACGGGAGGCAGCAGUGGGGAAUAUUGCACAAUGGGCGCAAGCCUGAUGCAGCCAUGCCGCGUGUAUGAAGAAGGCCUUC
rnacentral:rRNA from 2 species